UACAGAGGGUGCGAGCGUUAAUCGGAAUUACUGGGCGUAAAGCGUGCGUAGACGGCUAUCUAAGUCGGGUGUGAAAGCCCCGGGCUCAACCUGGGAAUUGCAUUCGAGACUGCAUAGCUAGGGUACGGUAGAGGGAAGCGGAAUUUCCGGUGUAGCGGUGAAAUGCGUAGAUAUCGGAAGGAACAUCAGUGGCGAAAGCGGCUUCCUGGACCAGUACCGACGUUCAGGCACGAAAGCGUGGGGAGCAAACAGG
rnacentral:rRNA from 1 species